rnacentral:rRNA from 1 species
UUCGCAAUGCCCGAAAGGGUGACGAAGCGACGCCGCGUGUGGGAAGAAGGCCUUCGGGUUGUAAACCACUGUCGGGAGUUAAGAAAUGCAAGGAUAUUAAUAGUGUCUUUGUUUGACUAAGGCUCCGGAGGAAGCCACGGCUAACUCUGUGCCAGCAGCCGCGGUAAUACAGAGGCGGCAAGCGUUGUUCGGAAUUAUUGGGCGUAAAGAGCACGUAGGCGGCUAUGUAAGUCGGUUGUGAAAGCCUUCCGCUCAACGGAAGAACAGCAUCCGAUACUACAUGGCUUGAGUGCGGGAGGGGAGAGUGGAACUUCUGGUGGAGCGGUGAAAUGCGUAGAUAUCAGAAGGAACGCCGGCGGCGAAAGCGGCUCUCUGGCCCAUAACUGACACUGAGUGUGCGAAAGCUAGGGGAGCAAACGGGAUUAGAUACCCCGGUAGUCCUAGCCGUAAACGAUGGGCACUAAGUAGAGGGGUUUU